rnacentral:rRNA from 1 species
GGGGACACAGUUGAAACGACUGCUAUACCGCAUAGACACGAUCCUGCAUAGGAUUGAGGUAAAAGGAUUAUUCGCUUCAGGAUGGGCUCGCGUCCAUUAGAUUGUUGGUGAGGUAACGGCUCACCAAGUCGACGAUGGGUAGCCGACCUGAGAGGGUGAUCGGCCACACUGGAACUGAGACACGGUCCAGACUCCUACGGGAGGCAGCAGUGGGGAAUAUUGGGCAAUGGGCGAAAGCCUGACCCAGCAACGCCGCGUGAAGGAAGAAGGCCUUCGGGUUGUAAACUUCUGUCCUUGGGGACGAAAAAAAUGACGGUACCCGAGGAGGAAGCUCCGGCUAACUACGUGCCAGCAGCCGCGGUAAUACGUAGGGAGCAAGCGUUGUCCGGAAUUACUGGGCGUAAAGGGUGCGUAGGUGGGUUCAUAUGUCAGAUGUGAAAUCCCGGGGCUUAACUCCGGUGUUGCAUUUGAAACUGUGGACCUUGAGUACAGGAGAGGCAAGUGGAAUUCCUAGUGUAGCGGUGAAAUGCGUAGAUAUUAGGAGGAACACCAGUGGCGAAGGCGGCUUGCUGGACUGUAACUGACACUGAGGCACGAAAGCGUGGGGAGCAAACAGGAUUAGAUACCCUGGUAGUCCACGCCGUAAACGAUGGAUACUAGGUGUGGGGAUCGAUAGGUCUCUGUGCCGGAGCUAACGCCUUAAGUAUCCCGCCUGG